GGCGGUGGUGUCUCCACCAGCGGGUCGUGGCGGGGGCCAAAACCCUGUCCUCACGUCCACACGUCUGGCCGCCCUUCCCCCGGGCGCUCGCUCGUGGGUUCGACCGUUGCACGUUCCUUGAGCUUCUGUGGCGUUCGGCCUGGAGGAGCUGGGCUGGCCUCUCCUGCACGCAGCCCGAGUCUGUCUGUCAAAUGAAGAUGAUGUGGACUCAGAGCCUGGCGUGGUCACCUACAGCUGUGUGAUCUUGGUUGGACAAGUUACUCACUCUCUCUGUUCAUCAGUGUCCUCGUCCGUGAAAGGGAAGUACAGUGAAUGUAAAGUGCUCAGGACAGCAAAGUGCGACCCAGUAUGUGCUUGUGAGGGGAUGGGCAGGUAGAUCCAGUCCCUGCCUGGCCACUCCUUUGGGGAAGCUUGUGUCUUUUAUGACCAAGACAGUGCUCUGUCCUGGCCUCCUUGAGCCUGGAAAUUAAGGCAACUGCCAGGGAGGGCCCAGAGUGGACUUUGGAGUCUCCUAGCCACAUUUCCUAAUAGGCAUUAUCAUGCUGUAUUAAAGUGGAGGUGGGAACCCCAAGAACAGAGGAGGCUGGAAAUGCUGUGAGUGCAUGGCAGACUCGCCCCUCUCUGCACCCUAGGGCACAAGGUGCAUCCUCUUGGCUCUGGCUUGUCAGCACCCUGGGGCGUUAUUUCUGGACUCCUUGCGUUCUGAGAGCGAGGUUCCUAUGCCUGGGAUUCUGCUGUCUGCUAUGCUCUGUGGGCAGACAGGCCCCUUCUGGCAGGCUGGGCUGGGCUUUUGUGGACAGGGACAGCUCUGGGCAGUGGCUUCCCAAGAGGCCUGUCCAUCUGUUCACCUGAUUGCCCUGACUCGUCUGUUUUCUUGUAAUAAGGCUGGGUGGCUCACUCAGCCUCCUGCAAAGGCCUGUGGGCACAGGAGAGGCCUUUUGGAAACUGUGUUUUCCACCCUUGGGAUAAUUUACAUACCACCCAGUUGGAGAAUAAUGGUGGGGCAGGAAGAGAGAGGUCACAUUCUCCAUCCCUAAAGGGCAUAGUUUUCUGGUUCCUGUCACUGGCAGUGGGACACACAGUCACAGAUGCCCUGCUUCUCCCCGACUCCCAUGCCCCGGCACCAGGGUGGCAGGCCCACCAGGGUCCCAUGUGGAUGCAUGGGGACUAUCAGCUCUUUUCCAGGUUUCCAGAAGCCUUGAAAUAUUGUGCAUUUUCCUCCGAUAAGGCCAGAAAGCCUGACUCAAACAUAAAAUGACAACUCAGCUGUACUGAGUUGACUUGUGUCCCCCCCUCAAAAGAUAUGUCCGUGUUCUAACUCCUAGUGCUUGUAUGAUUUUAUCUGGAAACAGGGUCACUGCAAGUGUGAUCAGGUGAAGAGGAAGUCAUCCUAGAUUAUGGAGGGGCCCCAAUCCAAUGACAGUGUAUCUUCAUAAGAAGAGAGAAUUUGGAUACGUCGACUAGGAGAUAGACACAGGGGAAAACAACAUAAUGAAGACGGAUGCAGAGAUGGAGGUGAUGUGUCUACAGCCAAGGAACCUGAGGGUCACCAGAGCCACCAGCAGCCGGAAGAGAGGGGUGGAUUAGAGUCUCCCUCAGAGCCUCAGAAGGGAUCGACCCUGCGGACCGCUUGAGCUGAGACUUGGAUUUCCAGAACUGAGAGAUGGUAACUGCCUGUUGUUCAGGCUGCCUGGUUUGUGGUGCUGUGUUACAGCAGCCGCAAGAAACCCAUACAUCAGGCCGUUCAGAGCUUCUGCUGGGCAGGCGUUCUCUGCCUCUGAUAGGCAUGCAACGGCAAGGGAGGUCAUCACUGAUUAAUGCUUGCAACACAGUGUGAUCUGUGAAACCUUUUCCUAAGGUGGUGGGGGGCGGUCCCUGGAGAAAGAAUACUAAAGGGGCCCAGGGUGGAGAAAAGGAGGGACCCAUAACAUACGGUCCUGGAAAAGCACUGCCAGACCCCCAAACUUACUGCUCCUGGGGGCCUGGGUAUUGGAGAGAAAAUCCCCCUGGUACUGAAGGGCAUCCAGGAGACAACACUUUCUUGUGGCCUGGGGGGGAGGGUGCGCAGGAAGGAUCCAGGGGCUCUGGAGUCUGACACUUGCUCCUGUCCCUGAUACGUAAACUGGGGUUCCUGCUGCCCAGUCUCUAGAAAGGCAAGGAGUAAAGGGAGAACACUGGGUAGAGGGGGAGGGGCACAAGGAAGCGCUGUCCCCACCCCACCCUCUGGGUGACUGGUGGCACUGGCUGGACCUAUGGUGGUUUUUCCUGUCCUGAAUGACUGUGGCCAGACUCUGGCCCCACUCUACAGAUGCAGAAACUGAGGCCCAGCUCUCACCAUUGCUCUGGAGGCAUGGGAAUCACCACAGAACCAGGGAACCAAGAUUCAGCCUUGUACUGUUGGCCACAGACCGAAUGGCCUGAAAUAGGGCACUAGUGGUCCAAGAAAAGAGGACUCAGUUGGCUGUGCUGGCCCCUGACCAGGGCGCCCAGGAACACACUCCAGUGACUCAGCGGUGACUCAGGACGAGGCAGCAGAUGCGGAAACCGCUAGUCCUCUGCCAGCUAGGGAAGCAGCCCCGGGUGGUGAUAAGCAGCUGGGGCAUCCGAGCCCCUCUAUCCGGGAGGACCCAGAGCCGGGAACCCAGAAGGCCUCCGCACAGCCGUUCUGUGAAGGCAGGAAGGACAGCCUGGCGGUCCCCAGCUGGGCAGCCCUGAGCCACGAGCCCCCGGAGCAACCCGCCCCACCAGGUUUUGCACGCGGUCUCCGAUGCUCUGUGAGCCUCAGCCUCUCACGGUGAGAAGUCUAUGAGAUGACAGGACGCAGUCGCACCGACAGCCAGGAGGCGGGAACCGCCCGAGGGUCCUUCAGUGGCUGAACGACAGGUGGUACGGCCACGCCAGGGGCGUCAGCCAGCCGCGGAAAGGAACGCAGCACCGGCUCACGCUGCCGCGUGGAUGGACGUCGAAAACGUGACACCGAGUGACGGAAGCCAGACACAAAGGGCCACAUCUCAUGUGCUACCGUUUAUUAGACCCACAUACAGUUUGUGAGUGGAGGACAAGGACAAGAAACCUGCUUGGAAGCAUCUGGAACGGAGUGGGAGGGCAAGCCAGGCCAGGAUCUGUGUCCUCCCCAGGAUCUGUGUCCCAAGCCAGGAAGGUGGCUGGGUUGAGGCUCCUGAAAAGCCGUCCCAAGACCUGUGGGCGCCAGGAGAAAGGCCAGGCAGGGCCAGCCUCCCAGAUGCUGGGGCGGAAGCCAGAACAAUGGCAUCCCCUGCGUUUGGACCCCUUCCAAAGAGGUUCACAUUUUCCACGGAGAGAGCACUCACGACAACUGGCAGGGAGAAGAGAAAGCCAGAAGCCGGGUUUCCCAGCUGUGAUAUGUGCCGUGCCGCCAGCCCACCGCCCGCUCCCCACAGACAACUGGCUCGUGGGUCCUGGCCACGGGAAAGCCUCAGGAGCCCUGCUUUCAGGUUGGCCCGGUGGCGUUGGCUGUGUGGCUCGGAGGCUGGGAGAGAUGCCAUCCAGCGUGCUCCCCGAGAGGUCCACAGGGCGAGCCAAACACUGACCCAGCCAGACUGACGACGUGAGCACCCCUCACUUGUCUGGAACCACCUUGUUGGCAGCCUUGCGUGUCCAGAGAGCCCCUGGAACCAGUAAGUCAGCAGGAUGGGCCGUGGCAGCCAGGGAUCCCGCCCCAAGUCCCAGCCUGCAAGCCUCGUCUCGCUCAGAGCCUCCUUACUCCUUGCCUGACACGAGGCACUGACAGGGCUGGUGUCCGGGCCCCAGGGCUCAUAUGAGAGGAGCCUGGAAAGUAAUCACAGACACUCUCCUCCCCGGGCGGGGCCCCUCAGCCCUGCCCGUCUGCCCAGCGAUGUGUCACCUGGCGAGCGUUGUGCAGAGAGAGUGUCGCGGGACCCAGGGCUCAUGCCAGGCUUCUCCCGCCAACUACGAGCCCUUGGGAAAGUCGUGUCACCUAUGGGGGCUUUAUGCCCGCCAAGCCCUGCUUCCCCAUUUUACAGCUGGGAAAACUGAGGCUCCGUGCCACAACCCCGGCACAUCAGAAAGCGGGAAGCUGUGUCCGGUAGCUCUCCUCGUGGCAGGGAAGAGACUGUGCACAAGCACAAGUGUUAGCACGAGCACACCCGACCUGAGCCAGAUGGCCGAUCUUCGCAGCCCACGAGAGAACUGUGGCUCCUUCAUUUCACAGACAAGGAAUCUAAAACCCGGAAGAUGAAGCCACUCGCCCUGAGUCCCGGGCCAGGGAGCUGGAGACAGUGUCGCCCUCGUGGCAGGCACCACGGGGCCACUGUGUGGUGAACAAGUCAUCCUGGCCGAAAUUGAGGUCCAGCCUUUGCCUUCGGCUUCGGGGAGAUCUGCAUCAUGUCCGAUAGAUGUGUCUUUGUUUAGCGCGGGGACCAGUCACAUCAGAAAGUCCAGCCACGUGAUUUAGGAUGGGGGCUUUGGACCACGCCGCAUCAGUCCACCUGGUAACCAUGUCGGCAAUGGACCGACCAAUCAAUCAAGCCUACGUCGUGGAACCCAAAAAAACUCUGGGCACCGGGGCUGGGGUGGGUGCCCCUGCUUGGCAACACUCUGUGCGUUUUGUCACACGUCAGUGCCAGAGGGCCACGCGUCCUGAGUGCAACAGAAACUUUCUCCGUGGGCCACCCCCAUCCCCACCCCGGGCCGCCGUCUCCUGUGACGUAUCUGCUUUCGUGACUUCCGUGAGUUCUCCUAGCCGGUUUUGGAAUCUCUGCGUGGUUUGCGGAACUCUCCCACCUUGCAACUGGUGAGGUGAGGCGUGAGACCCUCUCGGGGCCGAUGCCGACUCCCCUUUCACACUUGGGUCUUGCUAAUCCCCACACGAGACAGAUGACCACCAUCCCCGCGUCAGGAGGAAAAAAGGCCCAGAGGGUUAGGUAUAGACGCAAGGUGUAAACCCCUGUCUCUCAAAAUUUCUGGUUUGAUUCUCUCUGCCGUGCAGCCCCCCAAAUAACAUAUUUUUAAAAGACCAACGGGUGAUGCAUUUGUUGCUGAAUAGUUAACCUCCCCCAAAACUCAGUGGCUUAAGACCACCUAUGCCGUAUCUGUUUGUGGCUCCGGGGCUGAGCAGCGUGGGCCCAGCUGGGUGGUCCUUUGGUGGCUGGCAGGGUUGUACAUGUACCUGCGGUCACACAGCAGACCCACUGGGCCAUCUGGACGGUCUCGGAUGGCUGGUGCUUGGUGCUGAGCCGGGGCGACACUCAGCUGAGUUGGGUCGGCUUCUUCCCCGGUGGGAAGGAGAGCUUUUAAGCCCUGAAGCGUGAACACUUGCCUGCUCGUGUCCCAUUUAAUAAUGGGUCCCAUUGGCCAAAGCCAGUCAUGGCCAAGCACAGAGACAGUGGGCAGGACUGAACGAGGCACGGACACAGGGGAGUGUGGACACGGGCCGGGGCUACGUCAGUCAAGAUUGAGCGGACUUCCAAAAGGGGAAGAGAUUCUUAAAGUCCUGUGCGGUCCCUUCCUCCCUGGCAGGCGCAGAGGAGGAAAUGGAUGUGAGCAGCUGGGAUGAGAGGGUCUGAGAGGGUUCCUCCCCACAGCUCGGGAACCUCACCUCUGUCUCCAGGAGCAGCAGGAAGGGGACUCUGGCUUGGUCUCUGGCUUCAAGCUGGUGACAGAGGCUGGCCGGGCAGCUGUUGGAAGGAUGGACUGUCAAUCACACUGUCCCUGUGCUUGGGGAGAGAAGGCUCCUUUCUCGGACCUUGGACCUUCGGAAGCAGGCCAGCAAGUGUGGGCAGGGAUCACGGCCUCUCGCCGGGGGCUGUGGGAGAGGCAGGCUCUCCCUGCCCCCUCCUGAGCCCUGCCAGCUGCUCCCAGGCUUGGGCUGUCUGGUGACACCGUUCCCCUUCCAAGAGCUGAGACCCUUCAGCCGGGCAGCCUUCCAAGCCUCAGUCUCCCCGUCUGCAAACGGAGGACGAUCUUGCUUCCCUCCCUGGGCGGGUGCCAGGGUUACGCUAGAAAGGGGAUGUUCACAGCUGAAACCCAGCUUCCUUCCCUCACUGUAAGCUGUUUCCCCACGCGAUGUACCCAAGUGCCUUUGGGGGCCUGUCACUCACCCCCCCAGCCACUCCGACUGUGCUUUGCCUGAGU